AAUAGAAAUAUUUUGAAAAAUUGUAAAUAAGGAUAAAAAUAAGAUAUAAAAAAAAAUUUUUGGAACCGCGUGCUUAGUUGCAGUUAUUUGGAAGUUGUGCAUUAGAACAGACGGUAUGUCCGAACUAAAGUUUUUUUUUUGUGAUGCAAUGCAAUGGGUAAAGGUAUGGAGAGAAAAAAGAUCAGUAAACGGUUCGCAUUCAUUUUGAAUAAAGGAACUACUCUCGCUCGAUAAAAAUGAGUAUAACAAUUAUAUAAGAAUGUCAGACAAUCAAUUUGGUUUUAUACUCUCUGCAAUAAAUGAAGAUUUAUUAAAGCAGGAUACUGGGAUGCGUGCAGCAAUUUCUCUAGCGGAAAAACUAUCGCUGACUACGUUUUCUUGCCACAGGUAAUUUUCACUUGAAACUUUGUUGUUAUAAAAUUGGCAUAAUCAAAAUUUAAAAGAAUUCAAUUAUUGUACAUAUUUUAUAGGAGAAACUUUUCAGAGUUUGAACUUUGCUUCAAAAAUUUCAACUUCUGCGUUUAGUGGCAUAAUUCCAGAGGUGUCUGACUCUAUAUGGAUAAGACUAAGAGGAUUAUAUUUAAAGUUACCAAGCAGUUCCUCCGAGUGGGUUUCUGUAGCCAAUGAAUUUGCGAUAAGAUGGCAAUUUUAAUAAAAAUGGAGUUAUUUUUACUUUUUUAUAUUUACAUAAAAAUAUCAAGAUGCGUUAUUUAUAUUUAUUUCUUUUAAUCGCAAAAAAUUUAGUUCGAAUAUACUUUUAUUUAAGACAAGAAAUUUAAUUAAUUUUUGAAUGUUUUGUAAGAAAUAAAAAAAUAUGACGAUGAAAAAAAGUACUUUUUUUCGUCAUACAUAAUAAUGUUAAUCUUUAACACAUUUGUUUGACUUAGGGGAGGGCACAAUAGACCAUAGGUCGCGGUGCAUACCUCAAUCACUAUCUAUCUAACACAUUUGUUCUUGAAAAUAUUAAUAGCGUGUAUUCAAUACAAUUCAAUAGAUUAGGGAAUUCCCGUCAUAAGUUUGGCCUCGAAAGUAAUAUUUGCAGAUGAGAGAAACUUAAUAUUUUUGGAUGUGAUGGCGAAGUAAUUGUGUACAGGAAACUAUAUAUAAGUAAGUACAUUGUAUAAGCUUUUUCCUUCAUUGGCUGUCAUUAUCAUUGAGUUGUGGAAAGAUGGCGACAGUUUCAGAAAAAUUGGACAAACAAUUGGAAGAACAUAUUCCUCCGUCCACCGCGUCCUAAACAAAUUAAAACAAGUAAGAAAGGGCUAAGUUCGGAUGUAACCGAAAAUUUUAUACUCUCGCGCAGCCAAAUCAUAUACUCGUUUCAGAUUUCUUUCCAUACAAUAACCAAAUUCGCUUAAAAAAAUUCUUUAUGAGCCCCUAUCGACAGUGUGAAAAUGGAUGAAGUCAGAUGAUAACCAUUCUUACUUCCCAUAUAACGGGUUCGUUUAAAACUACUAAAUUUGCGAUAAAUCAAUAACUAAAUACGAAAAAGAAAGAUUUGUCGUAAUUUUAUAUUCAAUCAUUCUUGAAAAAAUCCAAAGAAUUUUAAGCAUUAUUUUGUGAAUCUUUCACUGUUAUAGUUGGAGGACUCGACUUAAUUUUAAAAUUGUUUUUGUUUUUGCUCACCCUACGGUCACUUCAUUUUAACUUUAUUACUUUUAUAUGUAAACUGGUAAAUAUAUAAAUUAUCAUUCAUAUAUAUAAAUUAUCAUAAUUCAUUCAAAGUUUUGUGUGGAGUUGUUUUUGUAAAGCUAUACAGCGCCAUCUACUGCUUAUACUGUGUAAUAUUUUUAUUUAGUCAAGCCAUACUCUCUCUGUCCAGUAUGACACUAGAAACAAUAUGGGACACUACUAAGUAUUUAAGUGGCUUGAGACAGAGAACGUAAAUGAAUAUUGAAUGAAUAUUCAUUUACGUUCUCUGCUUGAGACUUUACUUGCUCAAGGAAUUCAUUCAUUCAACACAUUGCCCAUUUUCAAUUUAAUUUUUACGAUUGCAUAUUUUUAGGAGUUGCUUUUUAUCAACGACUUGCUUACUUAACAAUAAAAUCCAAGAACGUGUUACAUAUACUUUUAGCGAAAUCACACUCAUUAAAUUUGCAAUUUAUUUGUGUGACAUUUAAACAAAAUAAUUUAAGUAAAUUGCUAUUGAAAUUUUUACAUUAGUUUAAUAUACCGUGGCGGAGCUGGCAAACCAACCAGUCUGCUGUCAGAAGUUUGUUAGAAAGGUUUAUUUCGCAAGAAAAAGUGCAUGUUCGCGUAUUUCUAUUUUAUUGCUUUAUUACUUUUAAAAUAAAAAUUUCGAAAUCUACCGCAGAUGACAGCAAGAAUAAAAAUGCUUCCAAAAUAUUUCCUCCGAUUUUUGGAGGAAGUUUAUAAAGUCUGAAGGUGGUUUCACCAGACUGCAGUCGUUAUAUUCCGCAUAGAACUCAUAGAAUUAAGAAGUUUUAAAAACUUUGUAUACAUAUUCAUAUACAUAUACUGCAAAUGGGUCUUCAGAGACAUUUUACCGCAGCAAAUUGGCAAGUAUUUCUGGUCACUCGCUAGCGACUGUUUCAGAAUUCCAGAGUUUUUGUGCUGCUAUAGAUGCACCCCAGGACUUCGUGGGCAAUUUUGAGUAAACUAUGUGCUGAUAGCCAAAUAAAAUUAGGCUUUAAACAUCUGUACGCUAGAGGUGACAAGGAGUGAACACCCUGAGCUAUGCUUUUCAAUUCUUUGUUAUAUCUAUUACCGUGACAAUUACGGUUAUUGUUUGACAAACUAAUCCCCAAAAAUGCAGCAAUAUGUGGACACAAUUUGCCUAUUUUCUUUUCCCAAUAAGUAACUGUGUUUUUUUAGGGACUAAAUAUCUUAAUUCUUUAUAUUUUUGUUUUCUUGCACCUAAUUUUUUUUAGGCCAACAAUUUCAUUCCACCAUUUUCUUUUCCUAGGUGUUCUUUUACUUAGGUACGAAUCUGUUUCAUACUUGGAUGCAAAAUAAGCUAACAAAGAGUUUCUAACUAAACCGAUCUUUGAACAUAACGGUCUAAAAUACCGGCUACGACUAUAUCAGUCGGACCUGAAGGAAGGUUCUAAAGUUCCGCUCUAGGUUUUACCAUUCGAACACGUUCCUCAGGUCGAGAGGUAUUUAUAAAUAUUUCUGAAUUACUUCUUCUGAAAGAUGGAGCCCAAUGCAGCAAUAUACUGCUUCUUGUGCAGAUAUUUCUGUGCCUGAUAUAAAUUUCUGACCUAUAUGUUUAAGUUUUAAGUUUUUGCUUAGCAGUAUAAUUUCCAGCAUUUACCUCUGUAAUAGCUUCAGAUAAGAUCCUAGAAAUUCCCCUGUUA